AUUGAACGCUGGCGGCAUGCCUUACACAUACAAGUCGAACGGUAACGGGUCUUCGGAUGCUGACGAGUGGCGAACGGGUGAGUAAUACAUCGGAACGUGCCUAGUAGUGGGGGAUAACUACUCGAAAGAGUGGCUAAUACCGCAUGAGAUCUACGGAUGAAAGCAGGGGAUCGCAAGACCUUGUGCUACUAGAGCGGCUGAUGGCAGAUUAGGUAGUUGGUGGGAUAAAAGCUUACCAAGCCGACGAUCUGUAGCUGGUCUGAGAGGACGAUCAGCCACACUGGGACUGAGACACGGCCCAGACUCCUACGGGAGGCAGCAGUGGGGAAUUUUGGACAAUGGGCGCAAGCCUGAUCCAGUAAUGCCGCGUGCAGGAUGAAGGCCUUCGGGUUGUAAACUGCUUUUGUACGGAACGAAAAGCCCUGGGUUAAUACCCUGGGGUCAUGACGGUACCGUAAGAAUAAGCACCGGCUAACUACGUGCCAGCCGCCGCCGUAA
rnacentral:rRNA from 1 species